GACGAACGCUGGCGGCGUGCUUAACACAUGCAAGUCGAACGGAAAGGCCCUGCUUUUGUGGGGUGCUCGAGUGGCGAACGGGUGAGUAACACGUGAGUAACCUGCCCUUGACUUUGGGAUAACUUCAGGAAACUGGGGCUAAUACCGGAUAGGAGCUCCUGCUGCAUGGUGGGGGUUGGAAAGUUUCGGCGGUUGGGGAUGGACUCGCGGCUUAUCAGCUUGUUGGUGGGGUAGUGGCUUACCAAGGCUUUGACGGGUAGCCGGCCUGAGAGGGUGACCGGCCACAUGGGGACUGAGAUACGGCCCAGACUCCUACGGGAGGCAGCAGUUGGGAAUAUUGCACAAUGGGCGGAAGCCUGAUGCAGCAACGCCGCGUGCGGGAUGACGGCCUUCGGGUUGUAAACCGCUUUCGCCUGUGACGAAGCGUGAGUGACGGUAAUGGGUAAAGAAGCACGGGCUAACUACGUG
rnacentral:rRNA from 1 species